GGGGAUUUGGUCUAGGGGUAUGAUUUCUCUUUCGCAUAUUGGUCUCCAGCAGAUCAAUCACAUGCAUAGAGACGGUCGUGGGUUCAAUUCCCACAAUCUCCA